CGCAGGGGGCCGCUGCGGGGAGGGUCUUCUUGGGGCUGCCUCGCCCCGCCCCAGUCCGGCGGCGGCACCGGUUCGGGCGGCUGCUUGAAGCGCCGGGGCGUCCCGGGCAUGAGUGGGGUUUGGGGGACUGGGGGGCCUCGGUGCCAGGCGGCGCUCGCGCUCCUGGCCUCGCUGUGCCGGGCCCGGCCGCCCCCUCUCGGGCUGGACGUGGAGACUUGUCGGAGCUUCGAGCUACAGCCCCCAGAGAGGAGUCCGAGCGCGGCCGACUCAGGCACCUCUGUCAGCCUCCUCGCCGUGGUAGUGAUUGUGUGUGGCGUGGCCCUGGUGGCAGUUUUUCUCUUUCUCUUUUGGAAGCUGUGCUGGACGCGCUGGAGGGGCAAGGAGGCCUCCAGUCCCACUUCUGCUAACCCUCCCCCGGAGGCCCUCCAGGGCCCCAGCUCCAGAGGCAACAUGGCAGACAAGCUGAAGGACAGCAGCACCCUGGGCUUCCUGGAGGCGGCUGUGAAGAUCAGCCACACGUCCCCGGAUAUCCCGGCCGAGGUGCAGAUGUCAGUCAAGGAGCACAUCAUGCGUCACGCACGACUGCAGCGACAGACCACGGAGCCAGCGUCAUCUACCAGGCACACGUCCUUCAAGCGCCACCUGCCACGGCAGAUGCACGUCUCCAGUGUGGACUACGGCAACGAGCUGCCGCUGGCGGCAGAGCAGCCCACCAGCAUUGGCCGAAUCAAGCCUGAACUCUACAAGCAGAAGUCGGUGGACGGGGACGAUGCCAAGUCCGAGGCCACCAAGAGCUGCGGGAAAAUCAACUUCAGCCUGCGCUACGACUACGAGAGCGAGACCUUGAUCGUGCGCAUCCUGAAGGCCUUCGACCUCCCUGCCAAGGACUUCUGUGGCAGCUCUGACCCCUACGUCAAGAUCUACCUCCUGCCUGAUCGCAAGUGCAAGCUGCAGACCCGGGUGCACCGCAAGACCCUGAACCCCACCUUUGAUGAGAACUUCCACUUCCCUGUGCCCUACGAGGAGCUGGCCGACCGCAAGCUACAUCUCAGUGUCUUCGACUUCGAUCGCUUCUCCCGCCAUGACAUGAUCGGAGAGGUCAUCCUAGACAACCUCUUUGAGGUCUCCGACCUGUCCCGGGAAACCUCCAUCUGGAAGGACAUCCAGUACGCCACAAGUGAAAGUGUGGAUCUGGGAGAGAUCAUGUUCUCCCUGUGCUACCUGCCCACAGCAGGCCGGCUCACCCUCACAGUGAUCAAAUGUCGGAACCUCAAGGCGAUGGACAUCACAGGCUACUCAGAUCCAUAUGUCAAAGUAUCCCUGCUUUGUGAUGGGCGGAGACUGAAGAAGAAGAAAACGACCAUAAAGAAAAACACUCUAAAUCCUGUCUACAAUGAAGCCAUCAUCUUUGAUAUCCCCCCAGAGAACAUGGAUCAAGUCAGUCUGCUCAUCUCGGUUAUGGAUUAUGAUCGAGUGGGCCACAAUGAGAUCAUAGGAGUCUGCCGUGUGGGGAUCAAUGCUGAGGGCCUGGGCCGGGACCACUGGAACGAGAUGCUGGCGUACCCGCGGAAGCCCAUCGCACACUGGCACUCCUUGGUGGAGGUAAAGAAAUCCUUCAAAGAGGGAAACCCUCGGUUGUGAUUUCAUUCACGUGGACGCUGCAAGCAGAGAGACUGUCACCUGGAGUUAGGAUGGCAGGGCCGGGCUGCCAGCUUUGACAGCGAGAGCUCGUGCCCGUCUCCGAAACCACCUCCCACACCAUGAGCUGUGCAACCGGGCGACACCAACGGGACUCAGCGACGCUCUUUUUGCACUCGUUCAACUGUCCAAACAGUGUCGCGCAGGGGCAGCAGCAGCCGUAGCACGAGUCUUAACUGCUCCUGCAUGGGUCAAGGUCACGACCCUUGUCAUGUGGCCAGACCUGUCUUAGUCUUUCUUGUCUCCCAAGGUGAUGUUUUCUGUGGUUUUUCACUUUUUAUGGAUCUGCUGCCAAGAAGAGAAGGGGGGAAGAGUAGGAGAAAAAGAAGAGUAGAGAGCCCAGAAGCUGGUUCAUAUAAAAUACAAUGUAAAAUAGUCUUCUCUUCUGGGGAGGUGGUGUGAUUUCCUUCAGUGUUGCGUCUCCAUCAAGCUCCACAACCCUGGAGGAGAAGGACGUGGGAUGGAGUCAUGGCUGUGUCUG